GCCUUCGUGGUGUAGUGGUCUGCAUGCUCGACGCUAAACCGAGAGGUCCGUGGUUCGAUUCCCGGCGAAGGCG
rnacentral:tRNA from 1 species